rnacentral:ncRNA from 2 species
CCACCAUCCAGAGCGGCUGAGAGAUCUGGCUCGACGACGCCGCAGCAACCCGCGGGCACCGUGUGCCCGGCCGAGGGUGCUACCGCCAGGACCGAUGAGACGAGGACCUCGAUGAG